rnacentral:lncRNA from 1 species
UUUAAAGUUAGAAAGUGUAUGUUUAUUCGACGCCGGGCAGCGUGCAGGAUAGCUCCCAAAUACACACCGCGCCUUCCAGGUGAUUACAGAGUCUUUUUAUCCAUUCAAGUAUUGAAUACCCAAAAUACAAAUACAUAUUCAUCAUUUUGGUACAUCCCAUUCCCUGCUUUGUAUGCUAAUCACUCCAAAAGCUAUUAAGCAUGCGUAGUUUGUCCCUUGAAAUGGGUCGGUGGUCUCUUUCAUGGGGAGGGGUCCAAAAGUGAGGAAGUAAAUGAAAUCUUCCUCGUUCUGACCUUUCUACCUUUUCAAUGCAAGUAUGACAAAUGAACUCUUGGUAGAACUCCCAUUCCUUGUCUUCAAUUGCUUUCAGAACAGAGGAGGCUCACAAUUGUCUUAUGUUCCUAAAAGCUAUUUGUCAGUUUCUAUAUUCUUCAUUAUAAACCCAGCUAACUAAACAUUGUGCUGACAAGCAAUUAAUUAUUAGUUAACUACUAACUCCUAACUUCAUCAAGGCCUACUUAUUUAUUAUUAUUAUUUUAAUUAUCUCUACUAAGGCUUAUUUCUAACUAAAAUCAUGGCUCCUCUAAAAUCUCUAAAUUCCUUAAAGUUUAUGUUUCAUUCCGCACUACUUCUUUGGAAUGAGUAAAUUCUUUUAUUCAGUAUAUAGACUUUUCUUCAUCUGCCCAAGACAUGUGUCUAGUUUCUUUCAAAACUAAACCAUAUGCUUUUGAUAGUGAAGUUAGGGCCGUCAUUCGUUGUAUAAUUUUCCAAUUCCAAACAAGUAUUACAACAGACAAAAUCAAGCUUAGACUAACUAAAAUAAGCAACACAAUAAUAGGAUGAAUUAAAGUAUUAAGUAUGCCGGUUGCUGUUGGUGACUAUCCAAAAAGCACAUCUCACCAAUGAUGAGACAAAUGUUCCUCAAAUCGCUUAAAAACUCCUUUGAUGGUUUCUGUGUCAUGGUGUAUAGUAAUUAAAGUCUUUUUCCCUGUGUCUCUAAUCUCCUUUAAAAUUUCUUUCAGUUCCUGAUGAUUUAACAAUUGAGCAACUAAAGUCAAAUUCAUUCCUAUGGGCACAGGCACUAUUUCUUGUACAGUAAUUAAAUUGGCUUUUAUAUAUUGGUGUAAUACUACAGGUGCCUGAUAUAAGAACUCACAUUCCUCAAUUUUGACAAAGUUACAGACACAUAGAUUGAACUGAGUCUCAUUCAUGCUUAGAUUGUCUAUCAUUAUGGUGGGGCAUGCUGUUCUGAGACAGACACAACCUUGUCCUAUAUAUAUAAGCAAAGUUGUUUAAUUGCCUGAAUGCGUUUCAAACUGGCAAAUGCUUUGGUCCGUAUCUAAACAUGUACCUUUAUUACUUUCUAAUGUCCCCUCACAUACGUAUCCUAGUUGUCUCCUCAUAGAACAGGGCUCUAGGUUGAUGGUUUGCCAUUUUCCUCUAAUUUCUCGUGCCCAUGUUCUAUGUUCAGAAGGAUGUAACACUGUCCCCUCAUUGUUUAAUCCUAGGGACAUUAUAGGAUGAAUUAAGGUCACUGAUGCAUUAUGUAUUGUUAAGACAAAGGCUGUUGCUUUACUUGUCAUAGGGUUAUAAGUGAAAUUAAUCGAAGUCCACCAAGCUUGCAGUUCCCUUUCUAUAUUAGAUGCACUAUCCCAAACAAUUUUACGGAGUUCAGCAGGGAAUAUUUCCUCCCCGCCUUCCCUGAUCACUGCAGCAGCGAUUGACUGCAUCCAUAGUUGUGCUUGAGUACACCCAAGAGCUAGUGAAACAUUUUCGCUAGCUGUGCCUAAUGCAUUAAUUAUUAAUUCAUGGUCUUGCUCUUCGGUGUUCUCCCAUUCUGGAAAUACUUUGGAUAACUUCCAAUGGUUGUCACCCAGUGCUAUUAGGGAAGAUUGUAAAGGUUGCUGUAAUUUAACCAAGUCGUUCCCUACUGUUGUUAAUUUAUUCAUCAAUACUUCUGAAUCUGUGGUAUUUAGCACUCCUAGUCCAGUCCCUAACAGAUCCCUUUUACUCUUAAAGUUGGAGGGCAUUUGUUUUUGAAGCCAAGUGGCCCAGUCCAUGAAAGGAUUUCUGAGAAAUGGGGCGCAUUCUGGCCGGACAUCUGAAGCAUUUACCUGUAUUCCCAUUUCUACUUGCUUCAGAGACCAUUCUGGAUUGACCAGCAGUCUUUGGAUUCCAAUUUUCUCUAGUAGCGUACGGCCCAAUUUUUGUAAUCGUAGGAACUUUAGGCUGCUCUUCUACUUCUGGGAUAAGUGGCUGUGGGGUAGUAACAGCUUUCUUUUGUGUCAGAGGGGUAGUUCUAGUCCUGUUCUUAUGAUAUUCAACACAUACUUGAGUGAUAUUAAAAUCAAGAUCAUACCCUCUUAUUGCACAUCCCUCUAAUUUUAGUCUAAAUUCGGGACAUUUACUCAAACAUUUGUCACAGCAUUCAGGGAUAAUCCGAAGGAGUUUCAUGAAUGGUUGGUAAGCCUCAUGGAACCCAUCUUGCACAAAUGCAUAGUUACAUCCUUAAACAUUUCUCCCUUCCCACAAACGUGCAUUUGUAACCUUUAUAAUCUCAUUUAGGGCCCUACGAGAGUGGGGAUCAUAGGCCCUUCCUUGACACCAGUAUAUUCCAGUUACGUUGUACUUGUGUGGUAUUGUAUUGGCUCCUCUUACAACUAUGGCAAUAGUUAUAAUAGUUACGACCUUCUCCAUCAUGUCUAUAAUUUCUAUAGGUCCAUUUAUUCACUGUUGCAGGUGAGCUUCAACCUCAGCUCAUUGUCACUUGGUGUCACUUUCCAGACUCCCUCAGGGACUUUCUUCACUCGGGUGUGAUGGAUCCAGGCCUUCUGUUCUUUGAUCUUGAUUGCAGUAAAGGUAGUGAGGAGCACCUGGUAGGGUCCUUCCCACUGUGGUUCCAGGCUUUUUUCUGCAAAAGAC